GCCACUGUAGCUCAAAUGGCAAAGCACUGGCUCUGUAAAGCAGGAUUCGUGAGUUCAAUCCUCACAUGAGGCA